rnacentral:rRNA from 1 species
GACGGAGGGGGCAAGCGUUGUCCGGAAUCACUGGGCGUAAAGGGCUCGUAGGCGGUUUGUCGCGUCGGGAGUGAAAACACCGGGCUUAACUCGGUGCUUGCUUUCGAUACGGGCAGACUAGAGGCAUGCAGGGGAGAACGGAAUUCCUGGUGUAGCGGUGAAAUGCGCAGAUAUCAGGAGGAACACCGGUGGCGAAGGCGGUUCUCUGGGCAUGUCCUGACGCUGAGGAGCGAAAGUGUGGGGAGCGAACAGG